GAUGAACGCUGGCGGCGUGCCUAAUACAUGCAAGUCGAGCGAACAGACCAGGAGCUUGCUCCUCUGACGUUAGCGGCGGACGGGUGAGUAACACGUGGAUAACCUACCUAUAAGACUGGGAUAACUUCGGGAAACCGGAGCUAAUACCGGAUAAUAUAUUGAACCGCAUGGUUCAAUAGUUAAAUACGGUUUUGCUGUCACUUAUAGAUGGAUCCGCGCCGCAUUAGCUAUUUGGUAAGGUAACGGCUUACCAAGGCAACGAUGCGUAGCCGACCUGAGAGGGUGAUGGGCCACACGGGAACUGAGACACGGUCCAGACUCCUACGGGAGGCAGCAGUAGGGAAUCUUCCGCAAUGGGCGAAAGCCUGACGGAGCAACGCCGCGUGAGUGAUGAAGGUCUUCGGAUCGUAAAACUCUGUUAUUAGGGAAGAACAAAUGUGUAAGUAACUAUGCACGUCUUGACGGUACCUAAUCAGAAAGCCACGGCUAACUACGUG
rnacentral:rRNA from 1 species